rnacentral:rRNA from 1 species
CCAACGGGAGGCAGCAGUCGAGAAUUUUUCUCAAUGGGCGAAAGCUUGAAGGAGCGACGCCGCGUGGGGGAUGAAGGGCUUCGGCUCGUAAACCCCUGUCAUUUGCGAACAAACCUUCUCACCUAAUACGUGGGGAGCUGAUAGUAGCGAAAGAGGAAGGGACGGCUAACUCUGUGCCAGCAGCCGCGGUAAUACAGAGGUCCCAAGCGUUGUUCGGAUUCACUGGGCGUAAAGGGUGCGUAGGUGGCGAGGUAAGUUUGAUGUGAAAUCGCCGGGCUUAACCCGGAAACUGCAUUGAAUACUAGCUGGCUAGAGGGUCGGAGGGGAGACUGGAAUUCUCGGUGUAGCGGUGAAAUGCGUAGAUAUCGAGAGGAACACCAGUGGCGAAAGCGAGUCUCUGGACGACUCCUGACACUGAGGCACGAAAGCUAGGGGAUCAAACA